GUUCCAGCCCCCUCCCUUGUGACCUUUGGAUGCUUCACAGUCCAGCUCUGAACCUGCUUUCAAAUGGAGAAAGUCUGCCAUACUCUCUGGAACAGAGAGAGAGAGACAGAGAAAGAGAGAAAGAAAGAAAGAAAACCAGUUCCAGCUCUCCCUCCCUGUGUGGUCCAGGCCGCAAACACCUGGUUCAGCCGAGGAUCAUGCUCUGAGUCUGACAAUACCAAGCUGCAUGGUCCUCCAGGGACUUCAAUGCCUGAGUGA
rnacentral:lncRNA from 1 species